rnacentral:rRNA from 1 species
AGCCAGACUCCUACGGGAGGCAGCAGUGGGGGAUAUUGCACAAUGGGGGAAACCCUGAUGCAGCGACGCCGCGUGGGUGAAGAAGUAUUUCGGUAUGUAAAGCCCUAUCAGCAGGGAAGAAAGAAGACGGUACCUGACUAAGAAGCCCCGGCUAACUACGUGCCAGCAGCCGCGGUAAUACGUAGGGGGCGAGCGUUAUCCGGAUUCACUGGGUGUAAAGGGAGCGUAGACGGCCGUGCAAGCCAGGAGUGAAAGCCCGGGGCCCAACCCCGGGACUGCUCUUGGAACUGUGCGGCUGGAGUGCGGGAGGGGCAGGCGGAAUUCCUGGUGUAGCGGUGAAAUGCGUAGAUAUCAGGAGGAACACCGGCGGCGAAGGCGGCCUGCUGGACGACAACUGACGCUGAGGCUCGAAAGCGUGGGGAGCAAACAGGAUUAGAUACCCUCGUACGC